CAAAAAAUUAAAAUAAGAUUAAUUAUAAACGAUAAUUAAUUAGAAUACUAGUAUGUAUAAUUAUUUUCAAGUUUUAACAGCUAAAUUUAACAUAUUGUAAGACCAUAAUUGACUUCCGUUUUGAUAUCAAAAUGUUAAUUGAAAUUUAAAAUAUUCCCCUUCUUCCUUUAUCUUUCAAACUGCUCCUUAAAAGCUAAAUUAUUGUGUCUGAUCCGGUGUUUGUGAAAGAAACAACAUCUAAAUAAUGUUUUUAAAUUUCAGGUAUUUGUAGUUAACGAAAACGACCAAAAAGCUAAUUUUUUGACAACAGUUGAUACCUGGUAACCGCAUGUACCGUUGAGAGCGGCUAUUGCAUGCUUGUUACAACUAUGGCAAAACAAUGACAUAAACGAUAUAAAAGAUAAAUUUAAAUAUGAGUCUUUGAGUUCUCUUCCCCAAACGGAUAUCCUACAAUACAGAUAUCAUAAAGGAUUUGAAACCAGAUGACCCCCAUCCAGGAUACAAGCAGAGUUUAUUGUUGUUGUGAUCACAUGACUACCACGUGAUCACAGAAUGAGAGGGCGCUGCAAGCAGUGCCCUGAUUGGCUGGCUAGAGAAAAACUGUGGGUUACAACAUACAGAACAGACGUAUAUCUUAGCAGUUCCUGUAUCAGGUAUCAUGGAUGGAAGUCUAGCUGUCUAAAAGUCUGAGAAGAAGGUGUUCCUGUAUUUACCAUAUCCAUAUGGUAAUCCUUAGACACAAACAGAACAGGUACACUAUGGAAGUGCAGAACAACUGGGACUCUGGCUGCCUCAUUACAGCAACCAUUAUGUAAACCAAUAUGUUAAGAAAAAAGAAAACAGGAGUCAAAAUAUUUGAAGUUCACAUUAAACAUGAUCAGCUAUGAUGAAUUUGAUUAUUUAUACAGAUCAGUGACAUUCACUUCAUUAGCUAUAUAUACUGCACAUGAAUACAGUUUGUCAACAAUCAUUAACUAUUUUAUGUUAUGUUUAUGUUAUGGUUAGAGUUUAUUUGUUUGAAUUUACCAAAAUAAUAUCUCUUAAUGUGACAGACACACCAUUUAGCAGCUUAGUGUUUGAGAUGAUAUUUUUUUCAACUGACCCAGCUUCUGUUCAAACCUAGUGAUUCACUUCAUUAAAUCAAUAACUACUGAAUGCUGAUUUACCUUAAUAAAUGUAUACCAGAUUUGAAAAGGACUGCCAUCCCAAUGGCCAAAAUAUAGUUUUGAACACUAAGGCUACAUAUAUCGGGUAUCUUUUUUAUUUAAUAAACUGC